AGAUAUACUCUCCACAUGAAUUUGAACUCUGAAAUCAACCUCCAAUGCCACGAAUUUUUGUUAUUUAAACCUUGAAUUAGCUACACCAUGGCGGCUGUGGUGAAGAUCGAUGUUUAGUCUUGGUUAAUCUUCACGUUAAUUACCUGUAGCGUGAUUUACGACUUGGAAAGGGGUAGGAUAUCAACAUCUUGACCCAUAUAGCCUUUUCACCUGCCCAGUGGGAUCUUCGUAUCCACCCCUGAGGCAUGGGGUGGAGGGUGCAGGAGGGCCUUUGCUGUGUCUCUCCCACAGGAGGAUGCAUGUUACAGGAAGCAUUUACUGACCCCUGCUCUAGAGGAAUGCCACAAGUAUGAUUUGUGCCUGUUCUUGCGCUGCCUCUGGACAUACCACAGUCUAUAAAACCAGCAAGCUGCUUGCCCUUGGGCAAGUCAUGUCGUCCAUCUGGCCUCAAUUUCCACAUCUGCAAAGUGGAGUUAAUAACACUACAAACUCCUAGGUUGCUGAGAAGAUGAACUACAAGAAUACGGCACUCAGGCUGUGCUUGUGUGCUAGAGCUAUUUGUACCAGAGCAGGAAAGGCUGAGGCCCUGCAGUUUCCUCUGACAGUUGCACGCUGGGUGUGAAUGUCUUUUUCUGCCCUGGGCAUAGGGCUGGUCACGUGGCGGAGGCCUGGCUCCAUGCACAGCUUCUGCUCGGCACUUGGGUGCUGUGGAACAUGUUUAUAUCGUCAUGCAGUCUCUGGACCUGUGCCUUUGUACGUGAUGCUGGAGUAGUCGGGACGGUGGGCCGUAAGAGUAUUCCGCAGAAGUGACUGUGCAGUGCUUUUGUAAAAUAGCCGCUAAAUACAAGUUAAAUCCAUCCCACAGCCACUCCUGACACCUGCAUGAAGAGAUGUGACACAGAGGGGCAGAUGGAUGGAGAACGAUGGCAGUGUUAAUGAAUUGUAUUUAAAUAUCUUAUUUUUGACAAGUCGUGACCAUAGGCACACAUUAGUGGGGCCCGUGUCAGGGCCUUCGGAAAGAGCUGGGCAAGAGAGAAGCACUGAGGCUAGAGCAUCCUCAGUCCACCUCUGUUCGCCCACAGAGCUCAUACUGGAGGGAGGG
rnacentral:lncRNA from 1 species